GGCCAAGGCGUGGCUAGGGGGAGUCGCUCAGCCUCACAUCCGGGGCGGUGGGCGGUACCCUCGCUGUGCACUGGGGGACAGACAGACCCUGUGCAGGAGAGACCCCCCCACAAGUGAGGAAAGAGAAAAUUUCAGGAGUUCUCUUUCAAUUCCACCCACUGGGAUCCAGCAGUAUUUAUCAGUUCAAGACCUGCAGAAACCCAUUUAUUUAGAAGCAAAAAGACUCAUUUUGGAUUCAUUUUCAGGCCAUUUGGAAAGGUCGCCAUCUGGUGGCAUAUGAUUUCUAUAUCAUUUUCCCUUUUCGCACAUGCCUGGUAUUGUUGUCUUUGCAGAAGACACUGGAGAGUCUUUGGGAGCUUGAGUGAUGAAGAUUACCACCAUGUUUGUGGAGGGUAAAUGCCAGCUGCUGUUAACCAGAGUAGCACGUAGGAACCUGAACCAAGGUUCACGACCCCCACUGCGCUAGUCGCUACUGGACAAGUAACCAAGUAGAGAGUCUCUGCCCUCUGGAGCUUACUGUACAGGAAGGGUGCUUAACCACGGAAACAAACUUCCAAGGGAAGUACAAUAUGAAUUCUCCACCUGAUGGAUUUUCCCCAUCUGAAAAUCUAUACUGACCUUGCUGGAGGGCCAAACCACCAAGAAGGAGCACCUGGGUCACAAAAAGAGAUCAUCCUUGGUCCAGAGAGACACCAUGGCGCGAACAACCAAAGGAAGGGACACUAGAUCAUGAGAAAUCUAAUCCCCAGAUGUGGCCACAAGCAGUGAAUCCUGUGACAGUAAAUAAAAAAACUCUGAGCUAAAUUCAGCAUUGGCAACAGCAAGUUGAACUCUAUGGAUGGCAUUGAAGUUACACCUCUUGUGGCAAAGAUGACUUUGUUCCCAUUGCUUUUUCAAAACUGAGUU